GAACGUAAAAGAACCGGGGUGCUGGGGCCAGAGUCAGGAGCCAGUGACAGACCGUGAGACGGUCCAGUCACAAAUGGGAAACUUGCCUGCCCGGCAUCCCGCUGAAUCUCCGUGGCCAAUCCAGGCACGGACCCCACCCUCCAGACUCCUGAUCCAGUGCUCCUCUGGGCAGUAAAAACAAUCUCCCCUGCCCUCUGUUGGAGUUCCGCCUUUCCCGCAGGUGUGCCUGUGUUCCAGAAGGCACACCUAGACCCAGUUUUCAAGUAGAGAAACUGAGACCCCACACAGAGACCGUGGAAUACACCCCCAGCCUCGUGUCUCUGGGUCAGGGGAAGACGCAGAUAUUCCUGGAUCCUGAUGUGCCCCAGGACCACCCUCGACUUGGAUUCUUUCGGUCCUGAAGAUUGUCCCCGGAGGAGAUGGCAGAAGCCUGGCAGGGCCACAGCAGACCACCAGCAUCAACCAGGGUCCUCAGGGGGCUUGGAGACGGGGGAGAGGCCUGAAUCCCGUGCCCCGGGACGAUGGGGGACCCCGGGUACCACGGAGUCUUGGGAUGCGCCUGCCCCUCGUGGGGGAGCAGACACACACGCUCACACGUGUGUGCACACCCACUGGCCGUGGACGCGGCCAGUCUGGAGCUGCUGGAUGCCAGGACGGCACCCAAGCAAAUACAGAAAUCCAGAUUUCUCACAGGCACUUGCAGCAGGCUCCUGCGGGGCCAGGGACUCCUCUCCUCUCAGGGGCCGUGGAAAAGGCCGGCUCCGCAAAUAAAGCGCUUUAUUUUGCAAA